rnacentral:rRNA from 1 species
UACGUAGGGAGCAAGCGUUGUCCGGAAUCAUUGGGCGUAAAGCGCGCGUAGGCGGCUCGAUCAGUCUGUUGUGAAAGUCAAAGGCUCAACCUUUGAAUGCCGAUGGAUACUGUCGAGCUAGAGUCCGGAAGAGGCGGGUGGAAUUCCUGGUGUAGCGGCGGAAUGCGCAGAUAUCAGGAGGAACACCAACGGCGAAGGCAGCCCGCUGGGACGGUACUGACGCUAAGGCGCGAAAGCGUGGGGAGCGAACAGG